GACUAUGGAAGAAUAGCAUAUCCUAAGGGAGAUUAUAAUUAAAGCAUAACAGAUUGUAUUUUUCUUUUUCAGAGGAAUUACAAAGAUCAAGAUGAAUUCAGUGAAGCUUCCCAUAGGACUGUUCAAAGAUCUCCAGAAAUCCCAGGACCAAAAUAAUGAGAUACGCGAUUAUGGUGGCUGGCAUGUCUCAAGAUCUGCAAUCAGCUGGAGACCCAGGAGACUUGAUGGUGUAGUUCCAGUCUGAAUUUGAAUGCCUGAGAACCAACAGAGUUGACAGUUCUUUUCCAAUGUGAACGCUAACAGGCCCAAGACCCAGGAUGAACCAGUGUUUCCGUUUGAACCCAAAAGCAGUCAAGCAAGAGGAAUUUUCUCUUACUAGUUGGUGGGUAAGUCUAUUGUUUUAUUCAGGCCUUUAACAGAUUGAAUGGUGCCCUUCAACUGAUUGAAUAGGAUUCAUCCACAGUACAGAGUACAAUUUGCUGCACUGAGUCUCUUGAUUCACAUAUUAUCUCAUUCAGAAACACCCUUACAGACACAUCAGGAAUAGUGUCUGACCAAAUUUCUAGGCACAAUAUGGCCAAGACAAGUUGACAUAAAAAAUUAACCCUCACACAUGGUAUUGGCAUACCACAGUUUAUUUAACUGUUCACCUCUUGAAAGACAUCUAGGCUGAUUCCAAGUUUUUACUCAUAGAAGUAAAACUCCUAAAAAGUUAUAUACAUUUUAAAAAAAUAAACACAAAUUUUCAUUGCUCUGGGAAAUAAAGUAUAAUUG
rnacentral:lncRNA from 1 species